GUAUUUCCAUCAGAUGUGUUUCUCAAGCACUCUGCCACUCCUUUCUACCUCUCCUGCAUUUGAUCUAAGGACCGCCCGUUCCACAGGAACACAAAGGCACAGAAGAUGAAGUAACUUGCUCACGGCCACACGGUUGACACCAUGAAGGCUGAACAAAGGAUAUCUGGGGGCAAAAUCUGGCCCAUGGGCUGCCCAUUGCCACCUCUGGGCAGCCCUCCUUGAUGGUGUGGAGUCCGCGGUCUGCAUUGGUUAACUUAACUGUGCUUCCUCAGAUCCAGUCUGGAAUUAAUUAUUGAAUUGUAUGCAUUUUCAAUGCCAUCCUCAAGCUAACAGCCAACUAUGCGGGGGAAUAAAAGGGAGCAGAAAAUUGAGUUGGGUUCCAGAGACCCCAGACCGUCUUCACGGCAGUUGCCAGGUUCCCUGCACCCCAGGUCUGUGGAUGUCCGGCGGCUCA
rnacentral:lncRNA from 1 species